GCCGGGAGAGGUGAGAGGUACUUCAGGGGUAGGGGUGAAAUCUUGUAAUCCUUGAAGGACCACCAGUGGCGAAGGCGUCUCACCAGAACGGACCUGACGGCAAGGGACGAAAGCUAGGGGCACGAACCGGAUUAGAUACCCGGGUAGUCCUAGCCGUAAACGAUACUCGCUAGGUGUCGGCCACGGUGCGACCGUUGUCGGUGCCGUAGGGAAGCCGUGAAGCGAGC
rnacentral:rRNA from 1 species